rnacentral:tRNA from 1 species
GCGAAUAGCUCAGUUGGUAGAGCAGCUGACUCUUAAUCAGCGGGCCCAGGGUUCGAGUCCCUGUUCGC